GACGUAGGUGGCGAACGUUAUCCGGAAUUAUUGGGCGUAAAGAGCUCGUAGGCGGCCAGUUGCGUCUGCUGUGAAAUCCCGGGGCUCAACCCCGGGCGUGCAGUGGAUACGGGCUGGCUAGAGGCAGGCAGGGGAGAACGGAAUUCCCGGUGUAGCGGUGAAAUGCGCAGAUAUCGGGAGGAACACCGGUGGCGAAGGCGGUUCUCUGGGCCUGUACUGACGCUGAGGAGCGAAAGCGUGGGGAGCGAACAGG
rnacentral:rRNA from 1 species